rnacentral:rRNA from 1 species
AGUGAACGCUGGCGGUAGGCCUAACACAUGCAAGUCGAACGGCAGCACAGUAAGAGCUUGCUCUUACGGGUGGCGAGUGGCGGACGGGUGAGGAAUACAUCGGAAUCUACUUUUUCGUGGGGGAUAACGUAGGGAAACUUACGCUAAUACCGCAUACGACCUACGGGUGAAAGCAGGGGAUCUUCGGACCUUGCGCGAUUGAAUGAGCCGAUGUCGGAUUAGCUAGUUGGCGGGGUAAAGGCCCACCAAGGCGACGAUCCGUAGCUGGUCUGAGAGGAUGAUCAGCCACACUGGAACUGAGACACGGUCCAGACUCCUACGUGAGGCAGCAGUGGGGAAUAUUGGACAAUGGGCGCAAGCCUGAUCCAGCCAUACCGCGUGAGUGAAGAAGGCCUUCGGGUUGUAAAGCCCUUUUGUUGGGAAAGAAAAGCAGCAGGUUAAUACCCCGCUGUUCUGACGGUACCCAAAGAAUAAGCACCGGCUAACUUCGUG